rnacentral:rRNA from 1 species
AGCGAACGCUGGCGGCAGGCUUAACACAUGCAAGUCGAGCGGGCACUUUCGGGUGUCAGCGGCGGACGGGUGAGUAACGCGUGGGAACGUGCCCUCUGGUUCGGAAUAACUCAGGGAAACUUGAGCUAAUACCGGAUACGCCCUUUUGGGGAAAGGCUUGCUGCCGGAGGAUCGGCCCGCGUCUGAUUAGCUAGUUGGUGAGGUAACGGCUCACCAAGGCGACGAUCAGUAGCUGGUCUGAGAGGAUGAUCAGCCACACUGGGACUGAGACACGGCCCAGACUCCUACGGGAGGCAGCAGUGGGGAAUAUUGGACAAUGGGCGCAAGCCUGAUCCAGCCAUGCCGCGUGAGUGAUGAAGGCCUUAGGGUUGUAAAGCUCUUUUAUCCGGGACGAUAAUGACGGUACCGGAGGGAUAAGCCCCGGCUAACUUCGUG